UACAGAGGUCCCAAGCGUUGUUCGGAUUCAUUGGGCGUAAAGGGUGCGUAGGCGGCGCGGUAAGUCGGGUGUGAAAUCUCGGAGCUUAACUCCGAAACUGCAUUCGAUACUGCCGUGCUUGAGGACUGGAGAGGAGACUGGAAUUUACGGUGUAGCGGUGAAAUGCGUAGAUAUCGUAAGGAAGACCAGUGGCGAAGGCGGGUCUCUGGACAGUUCCUGACGCUGAGGCUCGAAGGCUAGGGUAGCGAAAGGG
rnacentral:rRNA from 1 species